AGCGGGGUAGAGGAGUAGUACCUCGCCAGCCUCAUAAGCUGGAGAUCGCUGGUGCAAGUCCAGCCCCCGCAACAA
rnacentral:tRNA from 1 species